GACAGAGGGUGCAAACGUUGCUCGGAAUUACUGGGCGUAAAGGGCGUGUAGGCGGGAAGGCAAGUCGGGCGUGAAAUCCCCAGGCUCAACCUGGGAACUGCACUCGAAACUGCCUUUCUUGAGUGUCGGAGAGGAAGCGGAAUUCCUGGUGUAGAGGUGAAAAUUCGUAGAUAUCAGGAGGAACACCAGUGGCGAAGGCGGCUUUCUGGACGAUAACUGACGCUGAGACGCGAAAGCGUGGGGAGCAAACAGG
rnacentral:rRNA from 1 species